GCUUGAGCAGCUCAUUCGGUAGAGCAUGAGACCCUUAAUCUCAGGGUCGUGGGUUCGAGCCCCACUUUGGGCA